rnacentral:misc_RNA from 1 species
AACAUUUUUUACUUCGUCCUUUUGGCGUCGGAGAUGAAGUUCAAAUCCAGGACUCAUGGAGGUCAAAAUCAUUCAGAUCAGAUGAUCCAUGUCGAUCGGGAAAAAGCGAACUACAAGAUCAUCGGAGCAAUAUCAGCGAACAUUUCAAUUUGAGACGCGCAUCUCUGGCAGGAAAAGUGCAAAAUAACCAUAAGCACGGAAAAGAUAUUGUUGAAAAACGAGUGUUGAAGAACGGAAAUAACGACAGGCGGGAAAAAGGAAGAACAGUGAAUGAAGUGUCGCGCGUGUGAAGGGGAUGAAACCAAAGGGUUGUAGAAGUAGACGUUAGAGGAUGAUGGCGUGGUUCGAGGUUUAAGCUUUGGAUAAGAAGGACAGAGAGACGACGCGACGGUACGAGAGUAAAAGAGAGUUUUUCUUUUCCUUUGGCUCGUAGCCCCCGCCACGGCUUAUCUCCCUAUUAAAUCCAGCAAUUUUAAUACGCGUUUCUCGGCAAUUUCCGUGCUACACGUUCCACCGUCGACUUAGCACCCCUUCCUCGGCACGAAUAGCUUCUUCUGCUCCUUCUCUCCCUGCCAGGCGCUCCUCUACGAGCCCCGUCUGCAUCUUUCCCCUCUUCUCCGGAGCUCCGUCCUUUAAAUAAACUUUAUUUUUACGGUGCUAUUUAAAGCAAUUUCUGAUUUCCCUUAAUUCAUUACGACGCCGUUCCGUAUAGCCCUCUUAACACGCCACGGGCAUCGCUGGCAUUUCUCAUUUCCCCUAGUCUGCACGGCCACCAACAGCUACCCUGUGCUCCGUGUCGCGAUUCCAGAAUUCCUUGGAAUUCGAUUUUUUAAUCACAAAAGGGCGCUACAUCCCUUAUUAAGAGAAUUUCUAUCUUAAACAGCUGUGGGUCAGUGAUAUUCGAAUGCGUUUUCAAGCAGCUCUGCGCACUGACAGAUUUUUAAAUUUGAUAUUUCUCAAUUUCUACAUUUCUGAGCGACUCGUCUUCACAUUUCUGAACUUCAACGUUUGGAAAUUUUAAGACAUCAGCAGUUAGAAUAUACAAAGCACGAUAAAUUGAACGAAUACAAAUUUUUAUUUGGUACGUUAAAAGAAGUUUGUGGCGACUACACGUCCAGUGUAAACAUGUUUUGAUCGAAUAUCAAAACGAAUGCACUAUGUAAGCUGAAAAUACAUUAGCGAGUAAAAUCAGUAAUCAGGUCAUGCAGACCCUGAAAAAUACAUAAUGGAAGGAAUAAGUUUGGCGUCUGAAUCAGAGGUCUCUAUUACAUCGGUGGAAAUCCGAGAAUCGUUGAAAAUGUGGAAAUACGUCGUAACGAUCGACGAUUGUAGGAAAGACCGCGAAAUUUUUACCGCGUUCGUGGAUGGGAGGAACGUUAAGGGUAUAGCAAUAAUCGGUAAUAAAGAUGUGGGUUAAUAAACCGAUCGACGACUGGUGGCGGCACCGUCGUCGGGGGCUUUCAGGCGGCGGGCAAACUUUCUUGCCGGGAAAUUGAGUCGGAUUUGAGUUAUUGGAAUGGCGUUCGUCCCUUGCACAGGAAUCGCCCCGGUCUAGAGGAACCCCCUGUGUCUAUUUCGACCCUCCUCCUUCGCCACGCAUCUAUCGCCAUUACCGGCCAACCAGGGGGUGGGAAACUUGUAAAUAAAAAGGAGUAACGAUGACGUAACCAGCGUUUCGCGGUUGCUCGGGUACCGCCAGCCCCUUCUUUUCUAUUGAUCUGUACAACGAGCAUGGCGUCAAUAACAAUCGAUUAUUGUUUCAAGAGCCGCUCGUAAUAGGCUCUCGAAUGUCUUUAUUUUUCUCUUCCUUCGUUACUUGCGAUCAACUUACUGAGUGCUUCAGUAAUCGCGACUCAACCCUCCAAACGAUUCCUUUUACAAUUCAAUCCCUCGAGUCUUUUUUUCAAAUAAAUAGUCAAUGCUGUUUGAUAAAUAAAUCGAAAUGUUAUACACGAGAUUUUAGCCUUUGUAAUGCACAACAAAUUUUAUAAAAAAAUUAGUCUACAUUUUAUCUUUACUUAUACGAAUGUAAGGGAUGUUAUUUUUCAAUACCUGAUGUUCGGAUCAUUUAAAGCGUCUCAUGUCUAAUACAUGAGCAAUAUUGGGCAAAUGAAUAUAGGUGGUAACCACUAAUUGUGUUGUUAUAACGCUUCAACCCUUUGUUCUUUUCAGGACAAGGGUAUCUGAAGAAGACCCUAAAAAAGGGUCGAGACGAUAUAAUAAUGUAAUUAGUGGUUAACACCCACAUUUACCUGAAAUACUUAUUAGAAGAAUACAGAUGAAAGAAAGCGAUAGAAGCUAAAUGACACCUGUACCUUAUAGUUUACAAAAUAAAGCCUACAUGAAUUUAAUUUUCCAAUUCCGACAAUUACUAAAAUACCCGAUGUGUUUCUUUACUUUAAUAGUCACCUUUGUGCGGUCCACGAGAAACGAUAAUCAACUAUCCUCCUUAUCUCGCAGUGUGUGUUUCGCCUGGCAAUUAUCGAAAGGGUCGCCACGUAUUUUCAUUGUUCGCCAAAAGAUACUUUCAAGGAGGGUAGGCUCCGAGUUUAUCGAACAACGUAAAGAUAAGCGCGGUUGAUAAUGAAAUCACGAUGAUCCCGAAUUAAAAGGAGAGUAGGUUAAAGAAAGGGGAGGGGGCAGAGACAGUAGAUUUCCCACGUUACAUCGUCGCUCCCGGGGCAAUUCGUAUCGUGUCGAGAUCAUUAUACAUUCAUACUCGGUCGACGGGGUUAA